rfam:Crassostrea gigas strain 05x7-T-G4-1.051#20 contig1995, whole genome shotgun sequence.
CCAUAGUGCAUUGUAGUUGCAUUGCAUUUCAACUAAGUGUGCAAUGCUUCUGCAAAGCAAAUAUGG